GGUCCUGUGGUCUAGUGGUAUGAUUCUCGCUUUGGGUGUACUUCGGUAAAAGCCUAAUCUGCGAGAGGCCCCGUGUUCGAACCACGGCAGGACCC